rnacentral:rRNA from 1 species
CAGAGGUCCCAAGCGUUGUUCGGAUUUACUGGGCGUAAAGGGAGCGUAGGUGGCGGGCUAAGUCUACUGUGAAAGCUCUGAGCUUAACUCAGAAAUGGCAGUGGAUACUAGUUCGCUUGAGGAUUGGAGGGAGACUGGAAUGCUCGGUGUAGCAGUGAAAUGCGUAGAUAUCGAGCGGAACACCAGUGGCGAAGGCGAGUCUCUGGACAAUUCCUGACACUGAUGCUCGAAAGCUAGGGGAGCAAACGGGAUUAGAUACCCCGGUAGUCCUAGCUGUAAACGGUGCACGCUUGCUGUAGGUGGAAUCGACCCCGCCUGUAGCGAAGCUAACGCGUUAAGCGUGCCGCCUGGGAAGUACGGUCGCAAGAUUA